rnacentral:rRNA from 1 species
AUUGAACGCUGGCGGCGUGCCUAAUACAUGCAAGUCGAACGACGAAAGCCUUCGGGCGAGUAAGAGUGGCGCACGGGCGAGGAACACGUAGAUAAUCUGCCCCUUGCUGGGGAAUAACUCUCCGAAAGGAGUGCUAAUACCGCAUAAGACCACAGGGCCUGCGGGCCUAGGGGUUAAAGGAGCAAUUCGGCAAGGGAUGAGUCUGCGUCCGAUUAGCUAGUUGGUGAGGUAAAGGCUUACCAAGGCAAUGAUCGGUAGAUGGUCUGAGAGGAUGAUCAUCCGCACUGGAACUGAGACACGGUCCAGACUCCUACGGGAGGCAGCAGUAGGGAAUAUUGCACAAUGGGCGAAAGCCUGAUGCAGCAACGCCGCGUGAGUGAUGAAGGCCCUCGGGUCGUAAAGCUCUGUCGUGUGGGAGAAAAAAUGACGGUACCACACAAGAAAGGACCGGCCAACUUCGUGCCAGCAGCCGCGGU